UACGGAGGGGCUAGCGUUGUUCGGAAUUACUGGGCGUAAAGCGCACGUAGGCGGAUCAGCCAGUCAGGGGUGAAAUCCCGGGGCUCAACCCCGGAACUGCCCUUGAUACUGCUGGUCUGGAGUUCGAGAGAGGCGAGUGGAAUUCCGAGUGUAGAGGUGAAAUUCGUAGAUAUUCGGAGGAACACCAGUGGCGAAGGCGGCUCGCUGGCUCGACACUGACGCUGAGGUGCGAAAGCGUGGGGAGCAAACAGGAUUAGAUACCCCUGUA
rnacentral:rRNA from 1 species